GUUUUUGAAGCGGGGCCCGGGCCCCACCGGGCUGCGGCGUCCGACUCGAGUGAGACUCUCCCCUGCGGCCCCGCCGGAGGUAGGGGGCUGGCAGGGCUGUCCUGGCGUGGUCUUCUCCGUUUCCUUCCUAGCGAUUCCUCUCGAGCUUCCUCUCCCCCUGGCCGCCCCUCGUCUCUCUUCUCUUGGGCGCAUUACCUCUCUGGCCUGUCUUACUGCGUUCCCGGGUUAUUCAUCACCCAUUUGCUCGGUUCCAUUAAGAACCAGCUUGGAGAUUAGAUGAAGAAACUGAGGCACAAAAAUUAAAUAUAACUUGCCCAAGUUCUCACAGCUAGAAAAUGGCAAAACUGGGAUGCCAGCAUCUUUUAGUAUUUUUUGAAAUACUUUAUGCUCACUGGGGAAAUACUUCCCCAGCUCACUGAUCUAAUGACAGACAGGACACCUGCUGUUUGAGCUGGGCACUGUUGGGGCAUUUGGAGUAUAUCUGUAAACAAAACAAAGAUCCCUGCGUUUUGGUUAUAUACUGAUUUGGUUCGAAAACAUGGCCAAAAGAA
rnacentral:lncRNA from 1 species